AUGACGAAUUUGGGAGAGACUGCAAAUAUAGUAGCGCCGAAGGUGAAGUCGCAACAAACUCUCAGGCAAAAGGACCGAAUUCUGACG
rnacentral:ncRNA from 2 species